GGCGGGAUAGCUCAGUUGGCUACAGCAUACGGUUCAUACCCGUAGUGUCGCUGGUUCGAAUCCAGUUCCCGCUACUA
rnacentral:tRNA from 1 species